CCUUCCAGGAGCUCCAUGAGGAGCUGUUUUGCCUCCCAUAAAUAUACUCACUUGACGUACACAUCCAUUAUUUACCACCAAGUCCCUUUCAAAGGCAUGCUUCAACAUCAACCCAUCCCCAUAUUCACAUAACCAAGGCACCCACAUGCUAGAAACACUUAACAAAGGCUGCAAUAUUCAGCUUGACAUCCAUUUUCAGGAAAGUUUUACAGCAUCAUUAAUAGACUUUCGCCUUAUAUAUCCUGAUCAAGAGACUACAUCUCUCAUAAGCAUGUUAUCAAACACCUUAUUUGCAUCAAUACAUCUGCUACAAACACCAUAAAAAAUGAAGAAGUAAGAUUUUCCCAAGCAUAGUCUACAAAGCCAACAGAUUUUUCAAAGAAUUCAGCAACUUUAUUACUUACAAAUUCAUCAAGAACUAAACCGGAUAUAAUUAGUUGAGCAUGAAUCUGCUUAAAGGACCCAAGGUUCUUGCAACCAGUAUAAAUUAACUCUAAAAUGGUCCAUUUCAAACAAUGCAUGGUCCUAUUAAAAUUGAGUUAAAUCUACCAAUUUCGAGAAUAGUUAUACAACAUCUUGAAUUCUUGAUCUAUAAUAAGUGCCCACGUAAUUAAACAAGAAAAAUGACUCCUUGACUAAGCCAUUUCAAGAUAACUAAAUUAUUUCUCUCCACACAAAUACAUUGUAUAUGCAUGCAUCACUAACACAAGGAACACAAAGACGGAUAGGGUGAGCCAGACAGACUGAUUAAGUAGAUUAUGAAGCAUAUAAAUCGUAUGCUUACCCCGAUUUGAAGCGUUAAUUACGUCUGUGUAACCGUGAUUAUAACUUUAUGAAAGGGUAAAUAUGCCUGUGUAAUCAAAUUUUAAGAUUUGGCUCCCCCAUUACACUUUUC
rnacentral:lncRNA from 1 species